ACUUUAUGUCAAAGUUAUUCUCAUAUGCAAAGAGCUUGAUUUCUGUUGAGUUAUGAAAGUAAUGAGUCAUACUAGAAAUAAUUUGAAUUUCAAAACAUGAACAUUUUAAAUUCUUCCGACAUUUUAACAUCCGGCAACGCACCAUUGAUCAUCUUCUCGUAUUAUGAGUUAUUUUUAAACAAAAAAGAAACGCUUUACUGCUUGGCGAUCAAGUUUUCAUGAGUUCCAAAGAGUUUGUACAGCUCCAAUAAAUACUAUAUUAGCUGUGUAUGAUAUGAUUAAUGUUUGAUGCUAUAGAAGCUGACAUUCCUGUUUUAAUUAUGAUUUUUAUAUCACCACAUGCUGCAUUAUUUUAAAGACAAAAAUUAUUGUUUUAGGAUACUGCUUUUACUAUAAAGUGUUACAAGUUGAUAAGGAAUUAAGAAUAGUUUAAGAUGGUUUACUUCAUUGUAUGUUACUUCAAAUCAUGAGAAAAUUAUGAUUAUAAUUUCGAGAAACAACUUGGCAUGUAUUUCUCGCUUUGCUGCUUGUAUGAAUGUUUUCAUAGUUGGUUUACAUGGUUACAUCACUUGUUUACAGGAUAAAAAUACAACAACGACCAAAUUAUAUCCUUCUUUUGUGGUUUUCCUGCAAGUGAAGUAUCGCUAACGCUUAAGCGUUCAUCACGAAAAGUGACGCGUUUGAAAUGGCUUACAUAACAACAAUAUGUUACAAUUUAUCAAUGACUAACGCUAGUAUCUUGACUAACGCUAGUAUCUUGACUAACGCUGGUAUCUUGGGUAAUGCAAGUACGACGUCAUCCACAAGUGAAUCUUGUCUACCGGAUGGUAAUUAUCGUCAUUGGUUCUUGAUUCCUGCUGCUGCAAUAUUGACGAUAUUAGCAUUUUUAAAUCGUCGUAAGAGCUUUAAAACUAAAAUGUUUAAAGGUCAUCCUGGUGUUGUGAUUCCGAUAGAUUUUCUGGACAGAAAUCGUAACACAAUUGUAACUUUAUUUGGAGCAAUAACUGGUUCUAUUUUGUUGCUUGUAUUGAAAGUUUUUACUUCUCAUGACAAUCCUUGGGCUAAAGCCUUCCUGACCAUUUUAAUUUGUAUUGAGAUUGCUUUUCUCUUUUAUCCAAUCUUUGGAUGUUUGGCUUCACAUUAUCGUAUUAUUGGAUCAUUGUUAGGUUUUUGGUACAGUCU